rnacentral:rRNA from 1 species
UACGUAGGGUGCAAGCGUUGUCCGGAAUUAUUGGGCGUAAAGAGCUCGUAGGCGGUCUGUCGCGUCGGCUGUGAAAUCCCGGAGCUCAACUCCGGGUCUGCAGUCGAUACGGGCAAACUGGAGUACUGCAGGGGGAGACUGGAAUUCCUGGUGUAGCGGUGAAAUGCGCAGAUAUCAGGAGGAACACCGGUGGCGAAGGCGGGUCUCUGGGGCAGUAACUGACGCUGAGGAGCGAAAAGCGUGGGGGAGCGAACAGG